GAGAACGUGCAAUGUCUCAGCUCGAGAAAUUAGAAAUCCAUGAUUGUCCAUAUCUGGAUACCCUCUCGGAAGUGAUUGGGUCGUUUCCAUUUAUGAAGGAGAUAAAGAUAGUGACAACCAAAAGCAUUGCAACAAAGAUCAAGAAUUCAGACUUAAUCUCCGAAAUAGGGAUCGUGAAUAUCAAUCCAUGAGAGUUUCAGCAUGAAUUUGCAGUAGAUGGGUCAACUUUGAAGAGCAGCCGACUGUGAUUGAAAACGAAUUAGCCCAUGAGCCUUGUAUGGUUUCGAAGCUAGAUGAGUCUAGUUUCAUAUGCAAUAAACUACAGGUCAUUUGGAGUUUUCUAGAAGGAGUUAUGGCUGUUUUACUUAAAUUGAGUCUCUAAACUUGUUUGAAGAAGGAUUUCUUCUUACUUUUCUCUUAGCCUUUAGGUGGAUUUCUUAAGGUGACGAGUCUCUCUAACCUCCUUGGUGGAUUCCUUAGAGUGAAGAGUUUAUCUUGCAUCGCUUCCUUGUGUUUCACAAUAUCUUCACAAUAUUGAGAUCAACUCUCGCUCGUUUUUAAACUUUUGCUUCUUCUUUAUAUUUUUUUGGUUGUAAUAGAGCAGAGUUGUUUUCAUGAAUCAAAAUUCUUAAACAGCUUGAUGAAUUUCAGCUUAAUGUAUAGACAGUUUGCACCAUAUAUAUGAGAGAAAAUAAACUCGUUAAAUAUGGAGAUUCAUCACAAUUUGUA